UACGGAGAGGGCGAGUGUUAUUCAUAGUGAUUGGGCGUAAAGGGCGCGUAGACGGCUGCUUAAACUUUUGAUUAAAAAUCCCAUGGCGAAACCGUGGACAACAAAAGAAUUGUGCGGCUAAGAAUUUAUUAGAAGUUAACAGUACUUUCAGAGUAAAGGUAAUAAUUAUUGAUCCUGAGAGGACUCCCAAUAGCGAAGGCAGUUAACUAUAGUUGAUUGACGUUUGAGGCGCGGAGGCAUGGGGAUCGAACAGG
rnacentral:rRNA from 1 species